rnacentral:rRNA from 1 species
CUACGGGAGGCAGCAGUCGAGAGGCUUCGGCAAUGGGGGAAACCCUGACCGAGCGACGCCGCGUGGAGGAUGAAGGCCCUUGGGUUGUAAACUCCUUUUGUCAGCGAAGAAAUGCGAUCAGGUGAAUAAUCUGGUCGCUUGACGGUAGCUGACGAAUAAGCUCCGGCUAACUCCGUGCCAGCAGCCGCGGUAACACGGGGGGAGCAAGCGUUGUUCGGAAUCACUGGGCGUAAAGGGCGUGUAGGCGGUCAGGUAAGUGAGAUGUGAAAUCCCUCGGCUCACCCGAGGACCGGCAUCUCAUACUGCUUGGCUUGAGUACGGGAGAGGAUGAGGGAAUUCCUGGUGUAGCGGUGAAAUGCGUAGAUAUCAGGAGGAACACCGGUGGCGAAGGCGCUCAUCUGGCCCGAUACUGACGCUGAGGCGCGAAAGCUAGGGGAGCAAACGGGAUUAGAUACCCCUGUGUCC